UACGUAGGGGGCAAGCGUUGUCCGGAAUCAUUGGGCGUAAAGAGCGUGUAGGCGGCCAGAAAAGUCCGCUGUGAAAACUCGAGGCUCAACUUCGAGCUGUCGGUGGAAACUUUCUGGCUAGAGUCCGGAAGAGGAGAAUGGAAUUCCUGGUGUAGCGGUGAAAUGCGCAGAUAUCAGGAAGAACACCCGUGGCGAAGGCGGUUCUCUGAGACGGUACUGACGCUGAGACGCGAAAGCGUGGGGAGCGAACAGG
rnacentral:rRNA from 1 species